AUUGAACGCUGGCGGCAGGCCUAACACAUGCAAGUCGAGCGAGCGGCGGACGGGUGAGUAAUGUCUGGGAAACUGCCUGAUGGAGGGGGAUAACUACUGGAAACGGUAGCUACUACCGCAUACCAUCAGAUGUGCCCAGAUGGGAUUAGAUAGUAGGUGGGGUAAUGGCUCACCUAGGCGACGAGCCCUAGCUGGUCUGAGAGGAUGACCAGCCACACUGGAACUGAGACACGGUCCAGACUCCUACGGGAGGCAGCAGUGGGGAAUAUUGGACAAUGGGCGAAAGCCUGAUGCAGCCAUGCCGCGUGUGUGAAGAAGGCCUUCGGGUUGUAAAGCACUUUAAGCGAGGAGGCGUUACUCGCAGAAGAAGCACCGGCUAACUCCGUGCCAGCAGCCGCGGUAAUUC
rnacentral:rRNA from 1 species